rnacentral:rRNA from 1 species
CACGCCGUAAACGAUGUCAACUAGCCGUUGGGAGCCUUGAGCUCUUAGUGGCGCAGCUAACGCAUUAAGUUGACCGCCUGGGGAGUACGGCCGCAAGGUUAAAACUCAAAUGAAUUGACGGGGGCCCGCACAAGCGGUGGAGCAUGUGGUUUAAUUCGAAGCAACGCGCAGAACCUUACCAACCCUUGACAUCGGGAUCGCGGAUUACAGAGAUGUUUUCCUUCAGUUCGGCUGGAUCCCAGACAGGUGC